UUUAUACACGGAUCUAUUGCCCAAUUUCAUAUUCGCCUUCGUGCCCUCUUUUUCGCGAAAACCGAACCCUAGAUUUCCAAGCAACAGAUACUCAUGGCCAGCGAUAAGCAAGCCCCCUCCCGCCACAAGCACAGACGUUCCUCCGACGACGAAUCGGAGGAGCCCUCUAAACGCCGUAAGCACCACCGUCACCGCCACCACCGCCACCGCCACAGCAGCCGAAAACACGAAGAGGACCAAACCAUACGCGAAGAGGAAAUCAAACCCGAUAAGGAUGAAAUUAAACACGAUGAACGAGAGGACGUUGCCCUUCCUCCCCUGGAGGGCGCUGUAUCGGGUUCGAAUUGGCAACCCGAUUAUGAGAUGGAGGAAGGUGAGAUUGUCGAGGAUGAGGACUUUGGUGGAGUUGAUACUGAUGUCGUUAAGAAGGCAACGGAUUCUGAUGCUGAGUUCGUUGGAGUAAUGGCGGCUGAAGUUCACGUUGAAUUUGAUAAUCACAACAUGGGAGUUCAACAAGCUCAAGAUGAAGUUGGCCUUUAUUCUGGUUUGCCACCAGAAGAUAAUCUAGAUAUAAGUGGUCAAGAUUCAAAGGCUUUUGGAGAUAACAAGUCUGAUGACGAGUUGUUGGCUAAUACAACCGUGAAUAGGAAAGAGAAAAUGAUUACUGGUAAUAAGAUCCAUGAUGAGGCUGGUGUGUGGAAAUAUUCAAGUGUGGAGCAGCACGCCAAUGGGGACGUUAGGCACAAACCUAUUGAUGUAUAUGAUAGGCCACAUACAGGAUCUGGAUCCCCUGUGAAAGGAAGUCGCAAGCGAAAGAGCUACCGUGAUAAUGAAAGCGGUAUAAGGGAUCAGAUAAAAUCUGUCUCAUCUGAAAACACUGGUGAGAGGCACAAAGCCUUGGCAUGCUCGUCCUCUCGUGACAGUUACCAUGAAGAGAUUCAUAGUGGGAAACGAUCGAAGUCACAUGACAGGAAUAGAGAAAGAUCUCGGUCCCGCAGCAUUUUACAAGAGACGUCAUUUUUGAAAACCACACACCAACAAGAUGCUGCAUGUGAUACCAAAAUCAGGAAAACUAUGAGUGACUCAGAUGAUGAUGAAGUUGUUGGACGCAAUGGGGACCGCAGACAUGGAAGCAGAGAAUUAUUUAGGGAUAAAGAAAGGGAACGUAGUUCUAGUUAUAGCAGAUAUACUGAGCGAGUUGACAGGCAUCAUAGUCUGGAGAUUCGGGACAGAGACAGGGCGAGGACUCGAGAUAUUCAAGACAGAGAUGUGGAGAAUAGCCAGGAGACUCGCGAUAGGGAUAGGAGAAGAGAGAAGGAACGAUUGCGUGACAGGGAGUGGGAUAGAGAGAGGGAGAGGGAGAGGGAGAGGGAGAGGGCCAGGGAGAAAGGUAGAGACAGGGAGCGGGAGAGAGAGAGGGAGAGGGCCAGGGAGAAAGGUAGAGACAGGGAGAGGGAGAGGGGGAGGGGGAGGGAUAGUGGAAGGGAUAGAAAUAGGAGUAAAGAUAGGGACAGCGAAGUUGAUGGGGUUAGUAGGCACCAUAAGUAUGAAAAUGUUGGUGGAGGCUUUGGUGAUCGAGACAGGUAUAAUGAUUUGAGGCAUAGAAGAGAUGUUGUAACAGACCAUAGGGACAGAGCAAGGACACAUUAUCCAGAAAGAGCUUAUAGUUCCAAAAAUCAUCAUUCAGAAGGGUAUGAAGAUAAACUUAAAAGAGACGAAGAUGAACAAGAGGACUACCAGGAGCGCAUUUCAUUGCAACUUGAGGUACAGGAAGAGGAAGACCUUAACAGAAUUAAGGAGGAGAGCAGAAGACGAAGGCAAGCCAUACUGGAAAAAUAUAAAGCUCAGCAACAUGUGCCUCAUCCAGAGGAUACUGCUAUAGGACAUGAAACAGAUAUGAAGCAUGUGGAGCAGUCUUCUCUGGUACAAACAGCUGUUAAUGUUGUUCCAGAAGUUACAGCUAUUAAUGUUGUUCCCGAAGUUCUUGAUGGCCGGAGUGAUGCAGAUACGGAGCCAUCGUUUUCUGUGGGUAAAUCUCCUCCACAAAAUGGGAUUUCUGCAUUUGAGAGGACUUCUAGUGCUAAGGGAUUGGGAGAGGGUACUCCAAAGAGCGAGAGAUCAGACGAUAUGUUCUGUGAUGAUAUAUUCGGAGAGUCACCUGCUGGAGUUCGUAAAACGGGGAAAGCGGAUGGUUUAGCAAUUGAAAGGAGUGGUCUUCAUGAUAAUUGGGAUGAUGCAGAGGGCUACUAUAGCUAUCGUUUUGGGGAAAUUCUUGAUGGUCGGUAUGAAGUCACUGCUGCUCAUGGGAAGGGUGUCUUUUCAACAGUAGUUCGUGCAAAGGAUUUGAAGGCUGGGGCUGGUGAUCCAGAUGAAGUUGCAAUAAAAAUCAUUCGUAAUAAUGAAACAAUGUAUAAGGCUGGUUUAGAAGAGCUGGUCAUAUUAAAGAAGUUAGUCGGUGCAGAUCCAGAAGACAGGCGCCAUUGUGUUCGUUUUCUUUCAAGUUUUAAGUACCGUAAUCAUCUUUGUUUAGUGUUUGAAUCUCUUCACAUGAAUCUGCGUGAGGUUUUAAAGAAGUUUGGCCGCAAUAUUGGACUUAAACUAACUGCAGUGAGAGCAUAUGCAAAGCAACUUUUCAUUGCGUUAAAGCAUCUCAGAAACUGUGGCGUUCUUCACUCUGAUAUAAAGCCGGAUAACAUGCUGGUAAAUGAAGGAAAAAAUGUGCUGAAGCUUUGUGAUUUUGGCAACGCCAUGUUUGCUGGUAAAAAUGAAAUCACGCCUUACCUCGUCAGCCGCUUUUAUCGUGCCCCUGAGAUAAUUUUGGGCUUGCCGUAUGAUCAUCCUCUGGAUAUCUGGUCAGUUGGUUGCUGUUUGUUUGAGAUUUAUACCGGGAAAGUUCUUUUUCCAGGUCCAACAAACAAUGACAUGCUUCGCCUUCACAUGGAACUAAAAGGUCCAUUUCCUAAGAAGAUGCUUCGAAAGGGAGCAUUUACACAUCAGCAUUUUGACCAGGAUUUGAAUUUUCUAGCUUCAGAGGAGGAUCCUGUUACAAAGAAGGCUAUAAAACGGCUGAUUCUCAAUAUCAAGCCAAAAGAUAUUGGUACCAUAGUUACCACUUCUCCUGGCGAGGAUCCGAAGAUGUUAUCCAAUUUCAAAGACCUCCUUGAAAAAGUUUUCGUGUUGGAUCCAGAUAAGAGGAUAACAGUAUCACAAGCGUUGAACCAUCCAUUCAUCACGGGCAAGUGAUAACUGAUGCUGACUUUCUGACUCCAGAAAUGAUGUUGAGCUAGAUGUUUGUACAUUCUGAUCUAAAUUGAUAUUCAGAUAUCUAAUCGUUGGCCAUUUAUGUCUUUAUUUUCUCUGCGCUGGCUUGAGAGCUUUGGACACGGUCUAUGGCGUGGUCGAAGUUGAAAGAGAUGAUAUUUUGACUGGAGACUUCUUACUUGGCAGUUCUUGCAGUGGAAUAUGUUCUGUUUCUACCGAUAUCUACCAGUGCUAUGAGGCAACCAUUCAAUGCUCUAGAUGCAUAAAAGGCACUCUGGAGAAGGUACCUUGGUUUGUUCAUUAGGAGCUUAUUGAAACACCCAAACUAUAUGGCAUGAUCUCUGAUGGAAUGUUAUACUUCUUUUCUCUUCUAACCUUGUUAUUGGUUAUGGCUGGAAAUUAAUAUAGGUUAAUUCUAACUGUUUACAUGUUUGCCGUGAUUUUUCUCUGCAUCACACCUUAUAUUAUGUGUGUGUGCUUGCAUGUUACACAUUUAGAUUUAGUUAUUGGUGGUUGGUACUUCAUAUGCACAGCAAGAGAUUAUAUUUCAGUGCUACUGUAUAUAAGUAUGCUACUUUUCCUCCUUCAAUAUGCUCACCACACCUUGGACAUGUAUUACCAUGCACUCAGUGACAUUUUAUAUAUACAUUGUACAUGAAUAUAUGCUCCAUUGGGCUGAAGUUGAUGAUUCAGCAAGAGAGCCGUCACUGGUUUUAUUUUUAUUUAUUUAUUUAUUUUUUUAUGUUGCUUCUGUUAUUAAUGUUUUUAAAAUAAAUACAUAUUCUAAUAAAGCUGUAUUAUGUCUGAUCCAUGGCUUGACCAUUCUGGAGGAGUACACACUGGAGGCGAAAGGCUACAGCUUUGAAGUGAGAUUAUAUUUCAGGUACAGCUCCCAUGCUUCGGUGGCUCUAAUGUAGGAAAGAAGUUCGUUUAGGAGCCACCGCAUAUGUUACUCUUGAAUUGAUUUGUGAUCGCUCUUUCCCCCCGCCUCGCUGGUCGGCGGCAAGGAUGAUUGCUUGGCGAAGCUUGGGUUGACAGACAUGGCUUGAAUCUGAGUAUAAUAGUUGGAACUUUUUGCAAAAAUAAUGUCAAAGGUUGUAGGCUGGCACAUCACUGAGUAAUGGACUUUUUUAACUUGCAUUCAGUUUCAUUUGGACAAUUAUGGCCAGACCUAAUGCUGGAAUGAGGUCGAAAUAUCUUGACAAUGAAUUCUUGGCAUUGGCGCACUGGUUUACUUGAUGACUCUUUUGAUUUCUCUUGUAUUUCAUUUCUAUCUCAUUCCACUUCCGUGACCAAAACAUGAGUUUAUGGAAACAGUGCUUUGCUAUUAACUAGGUAUGCAUAUUAGGACUGGUUAAACCAACCAGACUUCUAUUGUAGAGGUUGGUGAUUUAUUUAUUUAUUUGGAUAAGUGGGGUUGGUUAGGUUUUUUUGGAGGUUCUGUUCAGUUCUCGUUUGAAAAUUUGGAGAACCGAUGAGGUCGUUUGGUUUUGUUUGAUUCAUCUGGUCACCUGAAUCAGUCCAAGAACUGAUACCACUUGGAUACUUCAAGUUGAAUUUUAUUUGUAAAAUCAAAGCCCACCUGUUUAUUUGUUGAUAUAUUGGAGCCCACCUUUUGCUAUCUGGUUGAUUUGGGUGUGACCUCAUAAUAAAAUCAUGCAAAGCUUUUAUAUGUAUAUAUAGUAGUUGCUGAAUGAGAGAUCAGACUUUUCUAUGCUUACUAUGAAAAUUCUUUUAACCCAAAACCCAAACUGAACCCCCAGCUUUACUGGAUCUAUUUGGUGAAUUCUUCACAUAGUCGGCAGUUUUGGUUCCGUUUCUUGUGAAACAACUUAGGUCAGUUCAAUUUUGGGUUUGUGCCAACCUCACCAAACUCCCUGAGUGAACCCCUAUUGUUAACAAUUGAUAUGCAUUAGAUGGGUAGCUAUUGCCUAUUGGUGACUGACGCAUUACACUGUCUAGAAGUAACAUAAUACAAGUCUUAAGUUGUGUUUAAGUUAUUGUGAUUUGAUCGACGUAGUUGUUCUUUAUUUUUUAUAUGUGGCUGUAGUAAUGUUGCAGUGUGAUGAUAUUGUUUGAUGUAGUAUUACAUGUUUGAUCGGCAAUUAGGGGGGUGGGGGGAUUGAUAUAAAUCGAUUGAUUUGUGUCUCAAUCUAGUGAACAUUUUAUAGCCUCUAUGGUCGGGAUGGUGCUCAGAAUGAAAUGGCAUUCGUGCCCUUUUGAUUGUUUGAAACAACACGUAAGAUUCAGAAAUAAGGUAUAUCGCACAACUCUCAACCAUUUCGUCCUUUGUAGCUUGUGUAAAGAUCAAUGGGAACUUGUGAAGGUGAUUCGGGUUGGGUCAAAUGAUUUGAGCAGAUCCCUGUGCACCCAUAGAGACCUACUAACUUGCAUAUUGAUAAAUCUCUAUCUCAGGCGGGCACACAGAUGCACAGACACCUCUCUCUCUCUCUCUACACACACACACACACACACACACAUAAAUAUAUAUGUAUUUACAGCUAUUGGCAAAGGAACCUGAAGAUGGGGUGGGGUUGGAGAGGCUUAUUGGUGUGGGUUUAAUACAUAAACCAGUUGCAGUUAAGGGGUGGGGGAUUUCUGCUGCGAUUGGAGUGGGCUCCUUGUCUCAUUCCCGCUCUAUUGCCAAAUCUACUACUUCAAUUCUAGAUCUCUAAUAGUUAUAAUCACAUUAUGGAUAUGGGUAUUUUUGACCCCCCUAGAGUCAAACUAGUCGAUUUAUCUUUUGCUGUUUGUCUAGAUUGCUUUGCGACUUUUUUAUUUUUUAUUUUUGAGAUUCAUAUAUCAGCCUUUGGUAGUUAGAAUUCUUUUCGUCUACUUAUGUUACUUAUUCCAUGUGCAUUGUUGGACUUUCUGAGAGGUACUAAAAUGGAGUUUUAAGUUUAAUUUUGGGGAAAAAAAUCUGGUUGGCUUAAGCUUUACUUCCUUCUUAGAAAUGGAUGAAGCAUAACCAAGUCUGCCAUUAAAUCCCUUUUUUAUCCUGUUCUUUUUGUUUGUUUGUUUUUCUUUUUGGUAGAUUGCCAUUCCAAGUGUUUCUCCCCUUUUUUUUUAUUUUUUUAUUUUGAGUUAAUAGAUUUUCUUGCUCAUUUUAAAACUUGAGGUGGCUUAGUUCCAUUAUAUAUAUAUAUAAAGAAGGGGGAGUUUUCUUGGGUUAGCCUUGUAGCAUUUGCUUGUGUUAUAACUUUACGUCAUGUUCGAUGAUAUAGUGGGUUGUUGUAACGGACCGGGGGAUUCGCGGUCCGACUCAAACGCUUAAGCUAUUAGGUGGUGCUAGCACCCAAUGCAUAUAUACUCGAUCAUUUACCCAUCCUGGAUCCGAUGUGGGACAAGGAUUGUAACAUUCUGCCCACCCGAAUUCGCAACAACCUCGUUGAGGUCGGGCUACCUUGCCUUCACGGGGGAAGGCACCCGAACAUGUUCAGACCGGACGUUUGGCAUGCCACCAGAUGAAGGAUUGGGUCUUGCUCUGAUGCCAAGUGUAACGGGCCAGGUGCUAAGCGGUCUGAUGCAAAAUCUUAUCUAUUACCAUAUAUAGCUAAUCACUUUCCGAAUAGGUGAAACUGUCCAUUUGUCCGUGAUGGUAUUAUCAACGGUGAUGGUAAUAUCAAUGUAAAUGCAGUCAACUUAAACCUUGUAGGAAAUGGUUAAUUAUGUAUGUGGAAUUUGUGCACCCUUCGCAAGCGUCGCUUUUCUACCCUUUUGGUGUUUGUUUUGGGAAUAAUUUUUUAAGGCUUACUUGAUAGUGUUCAUUGAAUCUUCUUCCUUUCUUUUCUCAAGAAUAAUGUCAAAUUAUAUAUUAUAAGGUUUAAUUGCAGUUGUUGAGUGCUUUAGUGUUUUAGAAUGAAAUGACUAGUGUUGGGUCUGUAUAUGCUCCAGAAAGGUAUGAUCUUGAGUCUUUUCAUCCAUGUGAAUCAUUAAUCUAAUUUCUGCGUGUAUUUUUUUGCUUGAAGCAUAUUUUCACUCGAAACGGAAAUAAUCCAAGGAGGGGCAUUGACACAGACGUAUGCGCACAUAAAUUUAACUGAAAAAGAAGAAGAAAAGAAUUAUACGAUAAUAAUUUUGAUAUGUAGGUCUUUGGUGAAAUCAUAUAAUGAUUUUCUGAAACAUAGAAUUCUUAUAUGAAAUAUGGUAAUACUUUGUGGAAACUUUGAAUUCAAAUUUGUAGUUUGAUCUUCUAAGUUGUAUGCGAACUUGAAUUGAAUGAUUUGAUCAUAGUGAAUCUUAACACGUUCUAUAGUCUAUUUGUCUCGAUGAGACCAUAUGACACCCCCAGGUCUUUGCUUCUGUGACAAAUGGCUGGAUUGCUAGUAUCAGUUGAGACUCGAAGAUCAAUAUGCUGGUUUGGAUUUUUUUUUUUAUCGGUUGGUGAUGGUAGAUAGUGACAGGUAUUAGUAUUAACAUUGGAUAUGAUGGUCAUUUUUGAGGCUGAAAAGAAACACAAUGAUUUGUUCAUAAGCUAGACGCACUGAGGAAGGAAGAAGGUAAAUGAAACAAAGGUUUGUUGCUUAUUCAACUCACAACUUUUAUUUCGACAUUAGAAGUAUUUGCAGGAGAAAAUUCUUAGAUAAUGUUGUUUGUUGACAUAGUGGUAAACAUUAAAGGGAGGAAAGAAUUUUAAACUAAUAGAAAGUUUGACUAUGUUUACACUUUCUAAUACUUAAUUUUCUUCAUUUUUUAAUGUCAUUAGAAGAAUAUUCAGUGCAUGAAAUUUUAAUUAGAUGAGCCUCCGGAGUGAUCUGCUGAGUCUGAAUAAUUUUCUGAAGGUCUGGAGUAAAAUCAUUAUGGAAAGGGAAGGCGAUUUACAAGGUUUUUAUCAGGUUUUUGUUUCAUUAUUAUAGGGGUCUCGUCUCGUUGUAGAAAUAGCUAUAUGGGGAUGAUGUCUUGUGGCCAAAAAGUGCUAUAAGAUCCCAUGAAACGUAUUACGUUUGUAUCAGCGUUUAAUAAUUCAUGUUACUUGUAUUACAAACUUGUUGACUAUCAGCUCAUAAGAAAUGAUGAAGAAAGUGCAAGUUUUAUU